UGUUCUUUGGCUUAGUUGGUUAAAGCGCUAGAUUAUCGAUUCCGAGUCGUGGGAUCGAACCCCACCAAAACAA
rnacentral:tRNA from 1 species